CAGCCAGGGGGAGGUGACGGGACGGGGGCGGCAGCAGUUUCACGGAACAGGUGGGACGGGACCCCCUGAUCCCAAAAAGGGACAGGGACCCAACCCAACCACACCGUUUUAGCCCCCUGCCACCUGUCCUCCCCUCUCUUGCACCAUCGCUGGCAAACCAGCAGCUGCAAUCACCCCUAAAGUUAAUUAUUGAUGGUGAGUGUGCUAUGCUUAGGCCAUGUAGAGUUGUCAAGCUUAAACAUUUGUCAUUAUCAUUGUUUUAUAAUGGAUUUCUCCAAUGAUUACUUUACAUUAGCUAUUAAAAUUUGAAAGGGCCUUUGAGUCAUUGUACAGGAGUCUGGUGUGGAUUGUAUUUGAGAGUGAAAUUCUAUUACACAUGUUUUGUAUGUAACUGCAUGUAUUUAUUAUUACUAUUAUUUUAUUAUUAUUUUAAUGUUGGAAAACUGUAAACCAAUUCAAUGGAGAAUUUAAUAUACUAUGAAAGGCCAGGUAAUCAUUGGAGGAGUUUACAUGUUCAAUUGUAGCUCCCUGAAUAUUCCAAUGUUUGAAUUUCAAAUUUGUUUUUGUUUUUUCUAACUUCUGAUGACUCUGAUGCAGGAUUUCAUUGAUAUUUAUGCUGUGUGAAUUUGUAAACUGAAUUUUUUUUUAUUUUCAGCCUCCUAGUCAUAAUGUUUUGGAUAAUGUGUGUUUAUCCAUUGUAUGAGAGUACUUUUCUGACAGUGAUUAGUUAUUAGAAGUAUAAUAUAUCUUUGUGAUACUAGGUUAAUGUAAUUGCAGGGAGCUACAAUUUUCACCUUGCAAUCUACGUGGCAUAGCAUAUUUAUAAAUGUUUGGAUGGUAUCCAGCCAUACUGUAAAUAAUUUCAUCUUGUUCAUCUUAAAGAAAUAUAUAUUUUUGUAAUUAAAAAUGUUAUUGAAA